CGCGCUCUCUCUAUCUCACCAAAACCCUCUCAAUCGUGCUCUCUCUACUCUCGGUAUUGCUCUCACGAAAUCGCUCUCAUCCACAACAACUCAUACUGAAACAAAAACGGGAAGCUCACCUUGCUCAGCUUAGGGUUUCGAAUUUGGUCCUUGGAUUCAAAAGAGGCGUUCCUGCAAAACACUCUUUUGAUGCUCAGAAUUUGGUCCAUCUCGUUUGAUACUUGGAUCUGGAACAGUGAAUUUCUCUUGUCAGAAAACUCAGUUGGUUUGUGAAUGAGGACUCAAAAGGUCGAUGGUUCUUUGGCUGUAGCAGGUAACCUU